rnacentral:rRNA from 1 species
CAAUAGCGUAUAUUAAAGUUGUUGCAGUUAAAAAGCUCGUAGUUGGACUUCUGGCAGGAGCGACCGGUCACACACUCUGUGUGUGAACUUGCGUUGUCUCUGGCCAUCCUUGGGAAGAUCCUGUUUGGCAUUAAGUUGUCGGGCAGGGGAUACCCAUCGUUUACUGUGAAAAAAUUAGAGUGUUUAAAGCAGGCUUAUGCCGUUGAAUAUAUUAGCAUGGAAUAAUAAGAUAGGACUUCGGAACUAUUUUGUUGGUUUGCGUUACGAAGUAAUGAUUAAUAGGGACAGUUGGGGGUAUUCGUAUUUCGUUGUCAGAGGUGAAAUUCUUGGAUUUCCGAAAGACGAACUACUGCGAAAGCAUUUACCAAGGAUGUUUUCAUUAA